GACAGAGGGGGCAAGCGUUGCUCGGAAUCACUGGGCGUAAAGGGCGCGUAGGCGGGAUGGCAAGUCGGUCGUGAAAUCUCUCGGCUCAACCGAGAAACGUCGGCCGAUACUGCCGUUCUUGAGGGAUGCAGAGGAGACUGGAAUUCCCGGUGUAGCGGUGAAAUGUGUAGAGAUCGGGAGGAACACCGGUGGCGAAGGCGGGUCUCUGGGCACUUCCUGACGCUGAGGCGCGAAAGCGUGGGGAGCAAACGGG
rnacentral:rRNA from 1 species